UACGUAGGGUCCGAGCGUUGUCCGGAUUUAUUGGGCGUAAAGAGCUCGUAGGCGGUUUCGUAAGUCGGAUGUGAAAACUCAGGGCUCAACCCGGAGACGCCAUCUGAUACUGCGAUGACUUGAGUCUGGUAGGGGAUCACGGAAUUCCUGGUGUAGCGGUGAAAUGCGCAGAUAUCAGGAGGAACACCGAUGGCGAAGGCAGUGAUCUGGGCCAGUACUGACGCUGAGGAGCGAAAGCGUGGGGAGCAAACAGG
rnacentral:rRNA from 1 species